AGUGGUUAAGUGUUCGGCUGCUAACUGAAAUGUCGGUGGUUCAAACCCACUAGCUACUG
rnacentral:tRNA from 1 species